UAUUAGUUACCCUAAAUGGGGAGGACAACGUCGUGUUGACCAAGUAACAAUAAACACCACCAGCUCUCAGAAGCAGUACUCAUGUCAAUUUAACAUUAGGGACCCCUGUUGUGAUCUAAUAUCUCCGUCAUUAUACAUGUCCCACCCACUCGUUGGCUAAUAUCUUCUCUACCCAUUUUUUCUUCUUCGCCAAUAUACCUCCGGGGCUUGGAGCCUACAGCACAGCAGUGGACCGUCUUACCUUCCAGCUUCAAGUUCUCGGGAUGGCGCCAUAGCAUUGCCAAAAUAACUCUGACUCUUUGAGCAGCGUAAGGUACCAGACUCUUCGAGCAGUGAGCUCCUCCAACUGCUUACUCUGUCUACUGGAUUCUUUAAUCUGAUAUCUUUUUCAAGACAUUGCUGAUUAAAACAACGAAAAUGUCAAGAAUUUACAUAUGAUUUUUUUGCAAAAGUACCUAUAAAAUAUCAAAGGUGAAAAACAUCAGAAAAUAUAUUUCCAUCAUGCCCCAUUUAUGAUAUCCCAUAUAUAUAGUCUGUCUAAACUCGAUUCAUCCAAAACAUCCAACAUGUAAAGCCCAUCUAAACUAUUGUUGAAGCCAUCUAUAUGUACAGUAAUAUCUAAUAAAGGUAUCUAAAGUAAAAGUGGCCAAAAUUCAUUAGCCUCGCUGAAUCCAAACCUUUAGCUCAAAGUCGGGAGACCUUUAUCUCAGAGAUCAAUAUACAUUUCAAAGUCAUCUAAAUAAAAGUCCUGCAAAGACACACGAGAGAAUGUAUGACAGGUUACCUUUGAACUAGUACUAGGUUGUACUGCAUCAUUUCUAGAGAUCCAUCCGCACCAUUUACUUAUGCCUUGGUGUCACCCUGUGGAAAAACUGAGUCAAAAGAUCAAGCAGUUGAAUGAAAUGAGCCAAUAUAAAGAUCAUCAAAUGAUAUAAAUAAAACACAAAGUUAUUGUCCUUUUAAGAUAGAAGCUUAGCUCAAUGACUUGCAUUUUCACAGACACUUUUGGUACAGAUGAAAAAGUCUAAUUGAUAACCCUCAGGAUUUUUAUUAAUUUAAGGUUGAACCUUUUGGGAAUUUAAUGUUGUCACGGUUGAAAAUUGCAAACAAACUGAUACUAGCUUUUGAAAAUCUCUAAAAAUAGUAAAUCCUACAUUUGUACUCUAAAACAGACUACUUGCACAUUGAGUCGCUGGAAGAUCUUGAUAUCUAUAUUUGACUGUCUUCUCGUGUGCAAUUGGUUGGAGGCAAAAUAGAACUCCUCUUCACCGAAUUCUCUCUUUCUUGUGAUACUAAUCUCUAUGUGUGAAAAAUAAACAUGGGUAAGCUAGACUGCAGGAGUUGAAAGAAGAAAGGUUGUUAGAGUCAAAAAGAGUAAGUUGUUUUCUCUCUACUUCUUUCUUCUCUACUCCUAGUCUCUCUUCACUGAAAAGUUAAUGUUGAAAAUCCACUAGUAAUAUAGCUGUUGUACAACUACUGUUUUCCUAGAUUCAAUCUUUUCGUAUUUUUUUUUUCCUUAAUUAGUUGAUUGAGUAAAAUAAGGAAUUAUGUACCUUGAUUUUCUCUGCCAAUGACAGUCUAAGAAUUAGUUAAGUUGCUAGAAAUAAGGGCAGAAAUCACUCAGCCCUCUUGUAUAUAAUGACCUCUUUGUAUCAUAAUAAAUGUGUGGCAGAUUCAAUUCUUCAAUUCAGAAAUUUUCAUGGUAUCAGAGCCAUAUUCUCUGAACUGAUCAUCCUUCUCUAGCCUAUUCUCUCAAUUUUUUCCUCGCUCUAUUCAUCUUUUUUUCCUUCUUUCAUUACUAUCAUCUCGUGAUCAUUCUCUAUGACGAAAUAUGGUAUGACAAUCGAACGAGAAAGCUCCAAC
rnacentral:lncRNA from 1 species